GAUGAUCGCUAGCUACAGGCUUAACACCAGCAAGUCGAGGGACCGGCGCACGGGUGUGUAACACGUAUCCAACCUGCCCUUUACUCGGGGAUAGCCUUUCGAAAGAAAGAUUAAUACCCGAUAUAAAGGAUGGGGAUGUGUUCCAUUAGGUUGUUGGUGAGGUAACGGCUCACCAAGCCAUCGAUGGUUAGGGUUUCGGAGGGGAAGGUCCCCCACAUUGGAACUGAGUCACGAUCCAUACUCCUCCGGGAGGGAGCAGUGAGGAUGAUUGGUCAAUGGGCGCUAGCCUGAACCAUCCAAGUAGCGUGAAGGAUGAAGGCUGAUGGGUCGUAAACUUCUUUUAUAUAAGAAUAUGUAUUAGAUGAAUAAGGAUCAGCUAACUCCGUGCCAGCAUCCGCGGUAAUAC
rnacentral:rRNA from 1 species